CCUACGGGGGGCAGCAGUGAGGAAUAUUGGUCAAUGGACGAGAGUCUGAACCAGCCAAGUCGCGUGAAGGAUGACUGCCCUAUGGGUUGUAAACUUCUUUUAUAAAGGAAUAAAACGAGGCACGUGUGCCUUUGUGCAUGUACUUUAUGAAUAAGGAUCGGCUAACUCCGGGCCAGCAGCCGCGGUAAUACGGAGGAUCCGAGCGUUAUCCGGAUUUAUUGGGUUUAAAGGGAGCGUAGAUGGGUUGUUAAGUCAGUUGUGAAAGUUUUCGGCUCAACCGGAAUAUUGCAAUUGAUACUGGCAGUCUUGAGUACAGUCGAGGUAGGCGGAACUCGUGGUGUAGCGGUGAAAUGCUUAGAUAGCACGAAGAACCCCGAUUGCGAAGGCAGCUCACUAAUCUGUGACUGACACUGAGGUUCGAAAGUGUGGGUAUCAAACAGGAUUAGAUACCCCAGUAGUC
rnacentral:rRNA from 1 species